UGCCACUUCUUAAGCUAAUGACUAAGUGAUUCAUUUGUGCUGACAUAUAAAAUAAUCUUCAUUUCUACAAGUAAAGUUACAUACAGGUGGGUAUUAAAAAAAUGAAUAAAAACAUAAUUUUGUUUUAACAGGUAUAUAAUCUGUCUCAGAAUAUUCAAGAAGAUGAUCUUCAACACUUGCAAUUAUUUACAGAGUAUGGCAGACUUGCAAUGGAAGAAAUCUACCAGAAACCAUUUCAGACAUUAAUGUUUUUAAUUCGGGAUUGGAGUUAUCCUUAUGAACAUUCAUAUGGUUUGGAAGGUGGAAAACAAUUCCUUGAAAAGAGAUUGCAGGUAA